GAUGAACGCUGGCGGCGUGCCUAAUACAUGCAAGUCGAGCGAACCGAUUAGAAGCUUGCUUCUAUGACGUUAGCGGCGGACGGGUGAGUAACACGUGGGCAACCUGCCUGUAAGACUGGGAUAACUUCGGGAAACCGAAGCUAAUACCGGAAAGGAUCUUCUCUUUCAUGGGAGAUGAUUGAAAGAUGGUUCCGGCUAUCACUUACAGAUGGGCCGGCGGUGGAUUAGCUAGGUGGUGAGGUAACGGCUAACCAAGGCAACGAUGCAUAGCCGAGCUGAGAGGGUGAGCGGCCACACUGGGACUGAGACACGGCCCAGACUCCUACGGGAGGCAGCAGUAGGGAAUCUUCCGCAAUGGACGAAAGUCUGACGGAGCAACGCCGCGUGAGUGAUGAAGGCUUUCGGGUCGUAAAACUCUGUUGUUAGGGAAGAACAAGUACGAGAGUAACUGCUCGUACCUUGACGGUACCUAACCAGAAAGCCACGGCUAACUACGUGCCAGCCGCCGCGGUAAAAC
rnacentral:rRNA from 1 species